GACGAACGCUGGCGGCGUGCUUAACACAUGCAAGUCGAACGGAAAGGCCCUGCUUUUGUGGGGUGCUCGAGUGGCGAACGGGUGAGUAACACGUGAGUAACCUGCCCUUGACUUUGGGAUAACUUCAGGAAACUGGGGCUAAUACCGGACAGGAGAUCCUGCUGCAUGGUGGGGGUUGGAAAGUUUCGGCGGUUGGGGAUGGACUCGCGGCUUAUCAGCUCGUUGGUGGGGUAGUGGCUUACCAAGGCUUUGACGGGUAGCCGGCCUGAGAGGGUGACCGGCCCCAUUGGGACUGAGAUACGGCCCAGACUCCUACGGGAGGCAGCAGUGGGGGAUAUUGCACAAUGGGCGGAAGCCUGAUGCAGCAACGCCGCUUGCGGGAUGACGGCCUUCGGGUUGUAAACCGCUUUCGCCUGUGACGAAGCGUGAGUGACGGUAAUGGGUAAAGAAGCACCGGCUAACUACGUG
rnacentral:rRNA from 1 species